GGGGCUGAGGCUCAGUGGCAGAGCGCUCACCUAGCACGUGUGUGGCACUGGGUUCGAUCCUCAGCACCACA
rnacentral:tRNA from 1 species